ACCAAUGCCUAGUACAAUCAUGGUUCAUUAGAAAUCAGAACAAACCAUGGCUGCAAGGAAACAACAUGCACAUGGCCUGAAAGAUCUGACUGGUGUUUUGAUGGAUAAAAGUUUUCUGAAUAAGAUGAUAUACUAUCUCAACUUGAGAAGCACAUCUGGCAUGGAGGGGUUUCACCAGCACAUUUUGAUGUAUUGUGCAAAAAGAUUUGCAUACACACCACCUGUAUAAAGGAUGGGCAAUCUUCUUAUCAUAGUAUACAUGCAAAUAGAUCACACAUCACCAACAAGGAGGGAUCUGUAAGACUUCAGCGAAUCUGGAACAAAACAGUUGUAGAUGGUCUGUCUAUGAAUUAAAGAAGAAGAAAAAGUAUCAUUAUAUGGAUACCAUUUUACAUGAUUCUAUAACCCUGAGAAUAAAUGACAAAAAGGGGAUAUAUAAAAAGAAAGUUAGAAGAAGAUGACCCCCACAGAAUUUUAGCCAAACAUUUAGCCAAAGUUAGCCCAUAGCCUACCUGAGCCAUUCAUGAGGAACAUAAAUCAAGAUUUGAUUGACUUUUAAUGGACAAGAAUGAUAAAUAAUCUGUUACACUGUUUGCCAUACUAUUCAAACAUAUUUAAGCUUACAUUGAAUACUUGGUAUUCAUGAUAGUUUUAUGAAAGAUUUUUUAGCUCGACUAUACGAAGUAUAUGGAGAGCUGUCCUACUCGCCCCGGCGUCGGCGUCCGCGUCCGCGUCCAGAUUUUAGAUUAAAGUUUUGGUGAAGUAAAAUAUUUUUC